GGCGAACGGGUGAGUAACACGUGAGUAACCUGCCCUUGACUUUGGGAUAACUUCAGGAAACUGGGGCUAAUACCGGAUAGGAGCUCCUGCUGCAUGGUGGGGGUUGGAAAGUUUCGGCGGUUGGGGAUGGACUCGCGGCUUAUCAGCUGUUGGUGGGGUAGUGGCUUACCAAGGCUUUGACGGGUAGCAGGCCUGAGAGGGUGACCGGCCACAUUGGGACUGAGAUAUGGCCCAG
rnacentral:rRNA from 1 species